UAAAGAAUUUCGGUAUGGGAUGGGGAUGCGUUCCAUUAGUUAGUUGGCGGGGUAACGGCCCACCAAGACAACGAUGGAUAGGGGUUCUGAGAGGAAGGUCCCCCACAUUGGAACUGAGACACGGUCCAAACUCCUACGGGAGGCAGCAGUGAGGAAUAUUGGUCAAUGGACGAGAGUCUGAACCAGCCAAGUAGCGUGAAGGAUGACUGCCCUAUGGGUUGUAAACUUCUUUUAUAUGGGAAUAAAAUGUUCCACGUGUGGGAUUUUGUAUGUACCAUAUGAAUAAGGAUCGGCUAACUCCGUGCCAGCAGCCGCGGUAAUACGGAGGAUCCGAGCGUUAUCCGGAUUUAUUGGGUUUAAAGGGAGCGUAGGUGGAUUGUUAAGUCAGUUGUGAAAGUUUGCGGCUCAACCGUAAAAUUGCAGUUGAAACUGGCAGUCUUGAGUACAGUAGAGGUGGGCGGAAUUCGUGGUGUAGCGGUGAAAUGCUUAGAUAUCACGAAGAACUCCGAUUGCGAAGGCAGCUCACUGGACUGCAACUGACACUGAGGCUCGAAAGUGUGGGUAUCAAACAGGAUUAGAUACCCUGGUAGUCCACACAGUAAACGAUGAAUACUCGCUGUUUGCGAUAUA
rnacentral:rRNA from 1 species